ensembl:lncRNA
UUUUUUUUUUUUUUUUUUUUUGGCCAGCAUGUUCAAGUUCCUGGGCCAGGGGAUCCAAUCCAAACCACAGCUGUGACCUAUACCACAGCUGCAGCAACAUCUGAUCCCACUGUGCCUGGCCAGGGAUCAAACCUGUACCUCAGCAGCAACCUAACCCACUGCAGAGACAAUGCCUGAUCCUUAACCCACUGCACCACAGAGGGAACUCUAGAAGUUUGGUAUUUUUAAAAAUGUUUUCAUUACAGUUGAGUUACAAUGUUCUAUGAAUUUCUGCUAUACAGCAAAGUGACAUGUUAUACAUACAUUCUUUUUCUCAUAAUAUCUUCCAUUAUUUUCCACCACAAGUGAUUGGAUAUAGUUCCCUCUUCAAAGUUAACAUCAUACAGAGGAAAGCUACUAUUAUGAAAACUAAGAUAAUACUAUUAACAUGGGCAAAAUAACAUCCCCUGGAUCACAUUGGCAAAAAAACUAAUAACUAAAUUACAAAAUGUAUGUGGAUUUGACCGUCUUUCCCCUAUUGUCCUUUUUCAUCUUCCAAGAUCCAAUCCAGAAACCUGCAUUGCAUUUUGUUGUCCUGUCUCCUUAGUUGCCUCUGGUUUGUGACUGUUACUGUCUUCAAGCUGCUUUAACAGAGACCUCAAAUAACAGUGCUUUAACCAAAGAGUUUAUUUGCUUUUCUCACAAUAAUCCAGGUAUAAGCAGGUCCGUGUUAGAUUGGUGACUUAAUGGUGUUGGAAAUUCAGUUCCUUCUCUUCUUUCACCUCCAUCUCUAGGCUCUACUUUGUCUGCAUGGUUCAGUGCUCACCACCACCAUAGUUGCAUUCCAGCAAGAGAGAAUCCAAAAAAGGAAAGGGAAUUCACAGCAUGAGUUAAAUGUUGCAUGUAUAUUUUGUGUAUGUAUUUUUCCUGUCACAUACCAUUGACCAGGACUUAAGCACCUGGCCACAGCUAACUACUAGGGAGUAUGGGAAACCUCUAGCUAUAAUUUUAGGGCUUUAGGAGACCAAAACAAGGGGUCAAAAUGAAUCUCUAGUAUAUUUACUUGCCCUGUGAGUUUUAAAAUAUUUUCUUUAGUAACGUUAGAGUCAUGAUCUCAUGGUUUUAUUCAUUUUUACAUAACCUUCAUCGCAGGUGGGAGGUGACAGACUUAAAUGUAACACCAAAUAUAUGCACAUGUGCUUGUGUGUUUUGGUAGGUAGGAAAAAUCAACUUUUAACUGUGAACAGGGCUUACCAUAUUUCAAUUAGAACAUAAGAGCAAAGGAAGUGGUUUAACAAAUGAAUCGUGGCUGCUAUAACAAUGCAUUCAAACUCAGACAAACCAUAACACUUCCUGCUCUAGUUUCUGUCAAGUACCUACAUAUUUUAAGGGAUAUCCGCAAGCUUGAUUUGCUUUUCCUCAGCCUCGGUGCUGAGAACACAGACCCUUUCCUUAGAGUCGUGAACACUGUCCAAUAUCUCCAUCUAGACUGCAGAGUUUAUUCAAGUCAACUUCACUUCUAAACAGUCAUGUUUAUGCGCCCAUAGGAAAGCAAUUACUGGAAACUAGCUGAAUUUUGAAUUUUUAGAACAAAGGUUAUCCAUGAGGGAAAUGGGAAAAUAUCAACUAAUAUUUGGGCCUGUAUAUACGGAUAAUUCCUGGGUGGCCCCUCUUUUUAAUCUCUUGAGAAAUAUAAGAUACAUACACUUAUUUUUCAUAGUUGGAGCCUGCUUUUUCCUUCCAGUAUAUGGUAGAAAUAGACCCCAUCUUUUUGAGGCUACUGGUGAGUAUUCCAUUACAAGGGAUCUAGCAUAAUUACCCAACUAAUCCCUUAGGGGAUGCCCACUUAGUCUCUUUCCAGUUCUUCUCUUACAACACUGUAAAUAUCUUUACAUGCAUAAUUGGACAUAUUUUUCCAGAGUCAAAGUUACGUAUAUGUCAGAUGUUAAUAGAGAUUGCAGAUUGCCCUCCAGAAAGGCACCCUUUUACCUUCCCAACAGUCACUUACACUAGUGCCCACGUGAACUUGACUAUAAGCGAUGACAUAUGGCUCGAGGACAUGAACCAUCAUGUCACCACCACCUUGCAGCUUCUCCCAUGGUUGUGAAAGUGGAGUCAUUUCUUGGCCGUCCUCAUGUAAGUUUAUACUCUGCACGUUACAGUGCAGGGCAAGUUUAUGUUGAGUGAAUACUGUAUCUUGAUUAAUCCUUCUUGUAUCUAAAUCACAGCAAACUGCUCACUUCUGCAUAUUUCCCAUGGAAUAAAAUGGUACAUACUAUUUGCUCUUUUAAAGUACUCUUGUAUAUGGGCUAUGACUCAUUCUGGCUAAAGAACUACCUGGGAAUGAUGGCUUCCCCAGAAGGCACAGUGGACACGUGCCAGGCAUUUAUUGAAUGAGUGCAGGCCACACAGAACCUGCGGAGGUCUGUGCUCAGUGCUGGGGGAAAUUAUAGGAUGCUCUCAAAACACUUGAAAUUUAGCACACACAGAAUACAUUCAUGCACUAACCACUUACUUUCUUAACACUGAUUAUUACACACUUCUGAUGUGCUCUGUGCCAUGCUGGUGUUGCGGGUAAGGCAGUGAGUGGGACGGGGGAAUGUGUGGCCUCAUACAUGGCACAUCUGUUCUAGAACAAUCUAGAAAAACCCUCUCCAAAGGGUGUAUGUCCAAGUACUGCACCUGGGCAGCAGAAUUGAGAAAUUUCCACAGGUGAAGUAUCAUCAGAGGUGGCAUUUGAACAUGUAAAAGCUGGCUUGACGUAAAAGAGGGAGAAGACUUUGUAGGCAGAAGGAACUAGAUGAGCCAUAAAACGGGUUGGGCUUAGAGAAUGGCAAGUAUAUCCAGACUAGAGCUUAGUAGGGGUGGGAGGCUGAUAGGAUGAGAAGGCAGAGAUGAGAUUAUAUAGGGGCCAGAUUACAAAGAGCCUGCAGAGCAUGCUAAGGCAUCUGAACUCUGUACUCUUGUUACAGAUAAGGAAAUUGAGGCGCACAGCUGAGCAACUUCUAAGGUCCCAAUUCAAGACCCUUGUAACAUCAUUCAGUAAACCCGCUAGUGACUAGAAACACUGAAUUUUAAUUCUAUUUAUCUUUGACCUUAUAGUUCGAGAUAAGACCCCCAAUUUAGUCAACAUUUAUAGCAUGCUUUAAAGUGUUACACCUAAGGAGUUCCCUGGUGGACUAGCAGUUAAGGAUUCAGUGUUGUCACUGAGGAGACUUGGGUUAUGGCCAUGGCUCAGGUGGAAUCCCUGGCCAAGGGUAUAGCCCCUCCCCCCCAAAAAAUUAUACUUUGAUUAUACUUCAGAAAAGACUUUGGGUUAGAUCUGCUGUGUUUAAUGAUACCAGUUGUAGAUAAAUGCAUUCUCCUUAUUAAAAAAAGUUAAAACAUUACAGAUAACACAGAUGGUCCCUUUAAUUCCCAUCCCAAAUACAAUCCCUGUACUUUUCCUUCCGGUUACCCACUAUUAUCCAUGUGCUCUGCCUCCUUCUAGAACUUCAUCAUUGUCUAUUCCUGUGCAUAUGUUUAUGGAAAGAGACGUGUCAUGUUUCUUAAUCUUAGACCUUGUUGAUCUUUACCAAUAGUGUACACAUCUAAGACAACCCCAGCCUUCUCUAAAUGGAGAAUAUAUACUAUGCGUACAUAGCAGUGCUUGGCACCUGGUAAGUGCUCAAGAUACUUAUAGAAUGAGAGAGACUACCUUGCUAAGACUUAAGGUACUCAUUAGGCAGAGGGAGUUGCCCAUCAGAGGUCAACCAAUGAAUAGAGAUUAUCACCACCCGGAUUAAAACAUCCUCUGAGUAAAGGAUUCCAUUGUCAUCCAUAGUUCACAACUUCCAAUUAGGAUCACUAGGGAAUCAUUGAGUCCCAGAGGUUGAUACAGCAGCCUUUUUUGAGCCAUCUUGUAGGGCCAACGCAUCCUACAACUGCUUUGUCUGGCAAACCGCCCAAUAGGUGAGACAGCAUCUAAUCCUGGGGGGAGACCGAGUGCUGACUUGUUCCUGAUGUGAUAAAAAUGCAGCCACAGCGCUCUGGGUGGGCUGGCCGUCCUAAAACUGAUUAGCAGCCUUGGUGGCGGCAGCACAACCACCAUAGAGAAAGCGAUGCUCUUUCCAGAGGAGCAGGUUUAUUCCUUUAGCAGGACUACAGUAUUGUGUGAUUGCUUCAAGACAGCCGUGGCAUUGUGGCUUGGGGAGGCAGGCAAGACCACAGCUCUCUGAGAGCAGCUCUUGACUAUCAAUUUGAAGACAGACCUUCUCCCAGGGUAAAAAUGCUAGACUGAGAACCAUCAUCGGCUCCCAGGACAAACCAUGAAUAUCAGUAGAACAUUUAACUUGCUAAUUAAAUCCAGUUUCCAGGAUCACCCUAUGUAAUAAUUAACAAUCCAGAACUAUGAGGUAGAUUUGCAGGCAGAAAGCAAAUAAGAAUCUAUGUCAAGCCUCUGGUAUAAAGAUACUGCCUGAACCUUGCCAGGUUCAAUUAUAGGUUAAAUAAGAAGUGCUUUUUCAUUCAAGAAGUGUUUCCUAAGGACCCACUAUGAGCCCUGUAAGGGACUAGGAAUGCAUGGGGAAAUGUAGCAAGGACGUCAGAGGCUCACUAGAAGUUGAAUUUGCCCUGUUAAAUGGAGA